CUACCCGCUGAACUUAAGCAUAUCAAUAAGCGGAGGAAAAGAAACUAACAAGGAUUCCCCUAGUAACGGCGAGUGAAGAGGGAUAAGCUCAAAUUUGAAAUCUGGCGGCUUAAGGUCGUCCGAGUUGUAAUCUAGAGAAGUGUUUUCCGCGCUGGACCGUGUACAAGUCCCUUGGAACAGGGCGUCAUAGAGGGUGAGAAUCCCGUCUACGACACGGACUACCAGUGCUUUGUGAUACACUCUCAACGAGUCGAGUUGUUUGGGAAUGCAGCUCAAAACGGGUGGUAAAUUCCAUCUAAAGCUAAAUACAGGCGAAAGACCGAUAGCGAACAAGUACCGUGAGGGAAAGAUGAAAAGCACUUUGGAAAGAGAGUUAAACAGUACGUGAAAUUGUUGAAAGGGAAACGCUUGAAGUCAGUCGCGUCUUCAGAAAUUCAGCUUGGCUUUUGCCUGGUGUACUUUUCUGUUGGACGGGCCAGCAUCGGUUUCGGCCGCCAGAAAAAGGUGGGAGGAAGGUGGCACCUCCGGGUGUGUUAUAGCCUCUCAUCGUAUGUGGCGGCUGGGACUGAGGACCGCAGCACGCCUUUAAUGGCCGGGGUUCGCCCACGUAACGUGCUUAGGAUGCUGGCGUAAUGGCUUUAAACGACCCGUCUUGAAACACGGACCAAGGAGUCUAACAUGCCUGCGAGUAUUUGGGUGGUAAACCCAUAUGCGGAAUGAAAGUGACUAGUUGGGACUUCUGUCAUGGAAGGCACCGACGCCCGGACCAGACCUAUUGUGACGGAUCCGAGGUAGAGCAUGUAUGUUGGGACCCGAAAGAUGGUGAACUAUGCCUGAGUAGGGUGAAGCCAGAGGAAACUCUGGUGGAGGCUCGUAGCGAUUCUGACGUGCAAAUCGAUCGUCGAACUUGGGUAUAGGGGCGAAAGACUAAUCGAAC
rnacentral:rRNA from 1 species